rnacentral:rRNA from 1 species
CAUGUAGGUAUCUUCCCUUUGGCCUGGAAUAACACGAGGAAACUUGUGCUAAUACUGGAUAAGUCUUUACGGAGAAAGCUUUAUGCACCAUUGGAUGAGCCUGCACUUGAUUAGUUUGUUGGUGGGGUAAUGGCCUACCAAGACUGUGAUCAAUAGCUGAUUUGAGAGGAUGAUCAGCCACAUUGGGACUGAGACACGGCCCAAACUCCUACGGGAGGCAGCAGUGGGGAAUCUUGCACAAUGGAGGAAACUCUGAUGCAGCGAUGCCGCGUGAGUGAAGAAGGCCCUUGGGUUGUAAAGCUCUUUCGUCGGGGAAGAAAAUGACUGUACCUGAAUAAGAAGGUCCGGCUAACUUCGUGCCAGCAGCCGCGGUAAUACGAAGGGACCUAGCGUAGUUCGGAAUUACUGGGCUUAAAGAGUUCGUAGGUGGUUGAAAAAGUUGGUGGUGAAAUCCCAGAGCUUAACUCUGGAACUGCCAUCAAAACUUUUCAGCUAGAGUAUGAUAGAGGAAAGCAGAAUUUCUAGUGUAGAGGUGAAAUUCGUAGAUAUUAGAAAGAAUACCAAUUGCGAAGGCAGCUUUCUGGAUCAUUACUGACACUGAGGAACGAAAGCAUGGGUAGCGAAGAGGAUUAGAUACCCUCGUAGUCCAUGCCGUAAACGAUGUGUGUUAGACGUUGGAAAUUUAUUUUCAGUGUCGCAG